rnacentral:rRNA from 1 species
UGGGGAAUAUUGGACAAUGGGGGCAACCCUGAUCCAGCAAUACCGCGUGUGUGAAGAAGGCCUAUGGGUUGUAAAGCACUUUCAGUAGGGAGGAGAGGCUUGUGGUUAAUACCCAUAAGCGGAGACGUUACCUACAGAAGAAGCACCGGCUAACUCUGUGCCAGCAGCCGCGGUAAUACAGAGGGUGCGAGCGUUAAUCGGAAUUACUGGGCGUAAAGCGCGUGUAGGCGGUAAGGUGUGUUCGGCGUGAAAGACCUCGGCUUAACCGGGGAAGUGCACUGAAUACUACCUUACUUGAGUGUGAGAGGGGAUGGCGGAAUUGUCAGUGUAGAGGUGAAAUUCGUAGAUACUGGCAGGAACACCGGAGGCGAAGGCGGCCAUCUGGAUCACAACUGACGCUGAUACUCGAAAGCGUGGGUAGCAAACAGGAUUAGAUACCCACGUAGUCCCUGAGCGGGCUGGCAAGGCGCAU